rnacentral:rRNA from 1 species
UGGCAUCUGAUUUGGAACAAAGAUUAAUCGCUAAGGGAUGGGGAUGCGUCUGAUUAGGUAGUAGGCGGGGUAACGGCCCACCUAGCCAACGAUCAGUAGGGGUUCUGAGAGGAAGGUCCCCCACAUUGGUACUGAGACACGGACCAAACUCCUACGGGAGGCAGCAGUGAGGAAUAUUGGUCAAUGGACGAGAGUCUGAACCAGCCAAGUAGCGUGCAGGAUGACUGCCCUAUGGGUUGUAAACUGCUUUUAUGCGGGAAUAAAGUUCGGCACGUGUGCCGUUUUGUAUGUACCGCAUGAAUAAGGACCGGCUAAUUCCGUGCCAGCAGCCGCGGUAAUACGGAAGGUCCGGGCGUUAUCCGGAUUUAUUGGGUUUAAAGGGAGCGCAGGCCGAAGGUUAAGCGUGACGUGAAAUGUACCGGCUCAACCGGUGACUUGCGUCGCGAACUGGCUUUCUUGAGUGAGUACGACGUCAGCGGAAUUCGUGGUGUAGCGGUGAAAUGCUUAGAUAUCACGAAGAACCCCGAUUGCGAAGGCAGCUGACGAGUCCUUAACUGACGCUAAUGCUCGAAAGUGCGGG